rnacentral:rRNA from 1 species
GACGAACGCUGGCGGCGUGCUUAACACAUGCAAGUCGAACGGAAAGACCCUGCUUUUGUGGGGUGCUCGAGUGGCGAACGGGUGAGUAACACGUGAGUAACCUGCCCUUGACUUUGGGAUAACUUCAGGAAACUGGGGCUAAUACCGGAUAGGAGCUCCUGCUGCAUGGUGGGGGUUGGAAAGUUUCGUCGGUUGGGGAUGGACUCGCGGCUUAUCAGCUUGUUGGUGGGGUAGUGGCUUACCAAGGCUUUGACGGGUAGCCGGCCUGAGAGGGUGACCGGCCACAUUGGGACUGAGAUACGGCCCAGACUCCUACGGGAGGCAGCAGUGGGGAAUAUUGCACAAUGGGCGGAAGCCUGAUGCAGCAACGCCGCGUGCGGGAUGACGGCCUUCGGGUUGUAAACCGCUUUCGCCUGUGACGAAGCGUGAGUGACGGUAAUGGGUAAAGAAGCACCGGCUAACUACGUG